UAUUCAAGCUAUGAAAAACAUUGUUCCAUCAGCGGAAUCUGGCACUAUAGCAGGCUCUUUAGAGAACAGUUUUUUCUACCAAAAGUUUGUCCAGUGGAACCAAGAAACAACAACAACAACAACAACAAAACUAUGACCUUUCCACUAAACCAUUUGAGCCAGUUUAGGACAUGAAGAGAAAGAUUCAUGUAAAUUUGUAGCACACAAGAUGGAAACUGAGGCGCUAAAGUUAAAUGAAUCCA